rnacentral:rRNA from 1 species
AAAGAGCGCGCAGGCGGUUUUACAAGUCAGAUGUGAAAGAGGCCGGCUUAACCGGCAAGGGUCAUUUGAAACUGUAAGACUAGAGUGCAGCAGAGGAUAGUGGAAUUCCCGGUGUAGUGGUGAAAUGCGUAGAUAUCGGGAGGAACACCAGUGGCGAAGGCGACUAUCUGGGCUGCAACUGACGCUGAGGCGCGAAGGCUAGGGUAGCAAACAGGAUUAGAUACCCCAGU